ensembl:lncRNA
GAAUUUGCAGCACCUGUUGGUGGAAAACCUGCUGGCAAUCCAGCACACUGCUGGGGCUUUAAGAGUUGUCUGACAGCUGUGAUAAUACCCCACUCUGCUCCUCUGCCAUCCCCAGGCUUAAUGCAAACACCUGGCCAGGACGAAAGUUUGAUCCUACAAGAGCCAAGCAAUGCAGCAGCUCCAUCUCAUUGGCCAGAAGAUAAGCACUGCACGUGCAGAUCUCCCAGAUGACUUGUUCCAGGACUCUUCAUACACCCUCCGAAAGCCAAAUGUAAGGGAAAGGCUGCUCCAUGUGGUGCAUCGAGCACGUUUCAUUCUGUGGGCCUCAAAUUGAGCAAAAAGGGCUGUCAGAACAAGGCUGCAGGAUGCAGGCUCUGACCUUCACCCCCUGGUCUCUCCUGUUCUCAUUGGUGCUGUGUGGUGAGGGGAGGCUCCUGCAGCACCUGCCCUGGGGUGAGGCAUCGCAGUUUGUUCCUGUCCCUGCCUUCAAGGUCUGUACCAUUCCACAUGGCUGUUUCUCUAGGAGAAAGCAUGUGUUCAACCGUGUGAACUGUCUCCACCGAGCUGCAGCCUGGCUGAGUAAUGCAAUCCUUCACCUCUCUCCUCAGAGUACAGAAAGGACAGAAGUGCACUGACUACAAGUAGGGCAUCCCACCCUGGUUUUGCUGCUGCAACAAGCCCCUCUGGUUCUGUCGGAAGGGUUUUGUGUGCAGAGAGAUGUAGCAGAUAGGCUGUGUUUGCCUGGGCCAUGAGGAGUAGCAUCCCUUUACAAGCAAAGAUGUGCUCUUUAGCCUGCCAGGCAGUGUGCUUGGGAGCUCCACUGCUUCCUCAGAUGUCCACAAAACAUCAUCCUACAAGGUGGCACCUACCAGCUGCUCUCACCUGGGUGGGGGAUGUGAGCCACUGUGUGCUCUGCUGGCCCUGUGCACAGCGAGGGGCAUUGGUGGUGUGCAUGGGAGAAACCAUAAAUGCAGUUAGAGCGGGGAGGGAGAGGAAUUGCACCAUCCGUUAUCCAACUUGAGCAAAGUGACAUGAACAAGGAUAUUAUUUUAGAAAGUUUAUCUCUUUAGUAUCUAUGGUGACAAGAUGCUUAUCGGAGUAAGACAGACUCACAGGCUGUCUGCUCCUUGUUAUCUCAGUGUAGGAUGACAGUAUAAGUAUCACGUCUAGAAAUGUUAUCUAUCCUUUAUUAUUUCACUUGUGAGGGGCUAACAGGAGUGUUAUCAGGGUGUUUACAAUCAAAACACGUGCGGCUCAAGUGAUAAAAAGGAGAACAGACAUCUGAUCUCCAAGGAUAUGAAGACAAUACAGCCUUGAGCAGGAGGAGAUGGAUCUUAUUGGAGAUGGUUUGUCGGGCUGGGAAUGGACAAGCAAGCCUGCGUGAUUGCUCACAUCAUAAGCUUGAGAGAUGGGAUGGGGGAAAUGCAUGCAUACGAGUGCACAUACUCUCACAGAAAAUGAAAAGGCGAUCGUAUCAACAGCGCUCUCAGCUGAAAGAGAAAUAUUUUCCAAUAAUUUUGUUAUGAUUUUUUUUUUUUCCUGUACUCUCUUCUCACUUGGAGUGGUAAUGUGGCAAGCUGGCAGGACCAGCAAGUGCUGUAGAGUUGCUUGGAGUGAGUCAGAAGCUGAGAAAGCUUACCCAGGCCUGGAGAGUGGAGAACACACAGCUGGUAAGAUUGCUUAUCAGGGGUCUCCUUUAGAUUAGCACAAUGCUGGCCCAAGCUUCUGCAAGGUAAGGAAUCAAUUUCGGGGUUAGUGGUGACUAUAAACCUUAUCCUAGAUCUCUUUAGGGUCAGGGAGGCUAAAUCCCUUGUGGACGGAGGUGUGCAAAGAUCUCCCAGACAUCAGAUUCUCAUUAGUCUACAGUGUGAGCAAACCAGGUGCUCAGUGUAUCAAAUUCUGAUUUUCUUACUUGGCAUAAAUGAUCCUCAGUUGUUAAAGAAAGGGCUGGAUUGUGCAACACUGUCCAAACCCAGGUCUCACUCCUGGAGGUGGCUGUGGAUUCUUGGAUAGAUAGACUUCAUUGGAUGUUUUCUUCUUCUGUUGCAAUUAAAGACUCCAUUCUCCUAAGAUAGAACAGUUCUCUUAAGCCAAGCAGAGGGCUUUUAUCCCACAAGAUAACAUGGAGCAAGGAGUAUGUCUUUUGGGGGACAUAGAUGGAGGCCAGGCAUGUUGAGGUGCAAUGGGUGGGCAUAUUGUGGCCUGCUGGUGACAAACCCACCUCUGAACAUCUCUUCCUAUCUGUAUAACUGGCUUCCAACAAGAAGUAGGCAGCUUCUUGUUUUCCUUCCUUUCACAGCAAUUUCAGGGCUUUUUAUGUUUGUAUUAUGGGAUAGAAGUGCAGCACAUUCACACAGAGGUUGGUGGGACAGGUUGCCCAAGGAGGCUGUGGAUGCCUCAUCCCUGGAGGCAUUCAAGGCCAGGCUGGAUGUGGCUCUGGGCAGCCUGGUCUGCUGGUUGGCGACCUGCACAUAGCAGGGGGUUGGAACUGGAUGAGCAUUGUGGUCCUUUUCAACCCAGGCCAUUCUAUGGGAAGGGGGUAGGGAAAGAACACAAACACCUCACCCUCAGCAUAGUUCUGCAUUAACCUGACUCUUAGCUCCAUAUUCAUCUUGAGCUGGGUAUCACAUAAAGAGAACUGCUUUCAACCUGUCUAAAUGACUCUCCCAUCACUCUCUAAUGGCUGUCAACUGCAGAUAACCCUUCUUCACCUGUGGAAACUGGCAGCAGCACCUCAGGCUCAUUUAUGAGAAAUUAUCUCUGGUUGUGAUACAUGGUGCAUUUUUUUUUUCAUUUGAACCCCUAGCUUAGCAGGGCCAUUGGGGCUGUUUUGUAUGGUAAUAUAUGACCCAUCACUCCUCUCCUGCCCUUCGUCUCUCACACCUUUAAUUGCACUUGUGUUUCUGAAGCAUAUGGAAUUCAUUAUUCAGCAAGCAAGGUCCUUUGCAAUAUCAGCCUUAAUUAACUGUUCCCCUCUGCAUUUUCUUGCUCUUAUCCUCUCCAAAUCUACACACCAAGACAGGCUGAUGGCCCCCCACAUGCAUCAGUGCCAGCCAGUGAGCCAUGACCAGAUAAGAAGAAAUGGAAUUCCUUAUCUCUUUUUUUUUCUUCUUCUUUCUUAAAAUACACGCACACACACCCUGGAAAAGGUCAAGGUUACUGGGAUGGGAGAAGGCACUUCAAGACAACAAAACCCCCUUCUCUUUCAAGUCUCCAUAGCAACUUGAAGGAGCAUCAUGGGAUGUCAGGAUGAGAGAGGCCUAUUCUUUUCGUGCAACACUCUANNNNNNNNNNNNNNNNNNNNNNNNNNNNNNNGGGCAACACUCUUUCCACUUCAUUAGACUCUUUAUCAAGUAUCUCUGCUCUGGGCUGAGUAUAUUUUUUUGUGUCAGGGAGCAGUGCAGAUGACUCAAAAGCACGCUGACCUUUUCAGUGGGACCCGGGAGUUCCUUGUGGGAGCUGCAUCCUCUUCCCUUGCCUUCCUCCCCCACAGCCCCUCGCCUCCAGUUCGCAUGACCUCGGUCUGCCUGGCCUUCUCAUCAAAACCCCGUGGCUGGGGAGGGAUGAAGGGCUUCUUUAAAAGGAGAAAGGGAGAAAAAAAAAAAAUUAAAGAGAGCGGAGUAUGAGAAUGUCCUUCGCUGGCACUGGAGGUGUCAAGACCCUAGCUGUCAGAGCUGUGCAUCUGUGGGGAAGAUUAAUGACUCAGCUCAGAGAAAAUCCAAAUAAAAUAGGAGAGAAUAAAUGCCGAGUGACUGCG